rnacentral:rRNA from 1 species
CACGUAGGGCGCAAGCGUUGUCCGGAAUUAUUGGGCGUAAAGAGCUUGUAGGCGGUCUGUUGCGUCUGCUGUGAAAACUCGGGGCUUAACCCCGAGCCUGCAGUGGAUACGGGCAGACUAGAGGUAGGUAGGGGAGAAUGGAAUUCCCGGUGUAGCGGUGAAAUGCGCAGAUAUCGGGAGGAACACCGGUGGCGAAGGCGGUUCUCUGGGCCUUACCUGACGCUGAGGAGCGAAAGCGUGGGGAGCGAACAGG